rnacentral:lncRNA from 10 species
UGUGUGAGCCACUGUGCCUGGCCAAGCCUUCCUCAUUUCUAAAAUUGUUGUGGUGGGGUUGGGGGGAGUUGAUGAUGCUAACCUUCACAGGUAGCUGUGAAGAUAAGAAGACACUUUGUCCACUGUGCAGUGGGCUCUAGACUGAGGCCUCAAGUGCUAUUGUUGCCUCUCAAAAACAGCUGGAGGUAAAGGCUGACCUCCUGGAGGCUCUCACUGAACUGACUCCAAGCCACUCCUAUCACCUGUGGCUGAUGUUAACCACAAGCUGACCCUCACUUUCCCUCUCCCCAGGCCCCAGAGAAAGCCUAUAGGGGCUCCAAGCCCUCUCAGAGAGAAGGAGGGAGACACAUGACUGGAGUAGGAGUGAGGAAUAGACACAGCCCUAUCUUAGGAACCUAGGCUUAGUGCAAUUAAAUCCAUGACCCAAACCACCAUGGCCUCUCUCCCCAUCUCAACCACAGGAACUGGCCGGGCGUGGUAGCUCACUCCUGUAAUCCCAGCACUUUGGGAGGUUGAGGCGGAUGGAUCACUUGAGGUCAGGAGUUCGAGACCAGCCUGGCCAACGUGGUGAAACUCCAUCUCUACUAACAAUACAAAAAUUAGCCAGGUGCGGUGGCAGGCACCUGUAAUUCCAGCUAUUCAGGAGGCUGAAGCACGUGAAUGGCUUGAAUCUUGGAGGCAGAGGUUGCAGUGAGCCAAGAUCAUACCACUGCACUCUAGUCUGGGUGACAGAGUGACACUGUGUCUCAAAAUAAACAAACAAACCACAGGAGCUAAGGAAGCCUCUGAAGUCCGGAGGCUGGUGAUACCAUUCAUUCACUCAUUCAUUCAUUCAUUAAAUACUGUGAUCCUGCUAUGUGCAAAGCAGUAUGGGAACAGGGAUAGCCUAUCUGUAUUAGGAGACGUGUUUCUACAGCUGGAAAAAUGGGAAGGAUGGGACAGAGCUGUGGGUUUUAUCCACAUUUGCCUCCUCCACAAGGCAUGUUUCUUCUCAAGCUCAGGGUAAGGAGCAGAAAGCCUGUUUCUUAAAAUAGUCUUCCAAGACCUAAAGCCCCAUGUCAUCAUGCCUCUGCCGAGUUAAUUUCUGACAUCACAUCUUCUCUAGACAGCUGGGUGGCAUGUCCUUAGCUGGCCACAAAGAGGGAGUACGGAAGAUCCUUUGACAUUCAGCUCCUUCCCUUAAUAGCCAUCCUCACCUGGCUCAGAAUCAGCUUUCAAAGUACCUUACCCAGGCCCUCAUUCAAUUACCCUAUUAAUAAUAGCAAUAACAUUAAUGAAGGCUGCCCUUUAUCCAGCACUCACUAUGAGCCAGGCAUUUGAUAUCCUUAAUCUUGUGUAAGCCUCCUAAUAACUGCAAAGCAGUUUUUGUCAAUCUCAUUCCUGGAUGAAGAAACCAAGACCAGAGAGAGAAAAUAACAUGCCCAAGGACACAGAGAUCGAAAGUGACAGAGCCAGGAUUAGAACUUGCAUCUCUGCUGUCUCCCAAGCCACCAUUCCACACCUUAGCCUCAAAACCACGCUGUCUCCAUGCAUAUGCAAUAAGGAUGCUCUAUGAGGUCACUGGGAGAGUUUUCAUCCCUGUUUCCUUUAAGGUAGGAAUUCAUCUUUGUGCCUUCAGUGUGAUUCUGAACACUGGCUCUCUGAGACUAUUACAAAUGAAAAGGAAGAAGGCCUUGGUAGUUAAUCAACAAUAACAACAAAGAAGAAGAAUAACUAACACUGAUAGAGUUAGCAAGGGCUCCGUGCCAGGCCUGGGCCAAGCUCUCUCUAUCUCUCCGUAUCUCAUUUAAUCUCCCAAGCACCCUGAUGAUCCCUACAUUGCAGGUAAAGAAAUAGACUUGGCCAAGCACGGUGGCUCAUGCCUGUCAUCCCAGCACUUUGGGAGGCUGAAACAGGUGGAUCACUUGAGCCCAGGAUUUCCAGACUGCCCGGGCAACAUAGUGAGACCCUGUCUCUAUUAUAAAAUAUAUUUUUUAAAAAAGAAAUAGACUUAAUGAGGUUAAGCAAUUCACUUAAGUUAAAAACAAAUGAAACUUGGGGAGUCAUGAAAAAUAUACUUCCCCAGGGCUGUAUUUUUCUCUAAGCAGAUCUUAACUAAAAGUUUCUGUAUUCAGAACCCCAUCUGCCUUCUCUUGGUUCUGACCCUGCCUCUAAGGACAGAAAUCUCAAUACGGAGAAAAGGGAAGAAAAGAUUAAUUCCUCUCUGUCACAGGAGACUGGAGGCUCUGACACGAAAGUCCCAGCCUGGGUUUGCUGUUGUUGCUCACGUAGAUGACUUCGAGGUGUCAGAUGGAAGCCCAAACUGAAUGUGCUGGGCUUUAAAGUAAAAGCCCGCAGCUGAGAGGCAAGAGCUUCCACAGGGAGGUAGUAAAUAUUUGAUGGGAACUUCCAGCUCCUCCUGACUCAGGUGACCCUGGUGACAUUUCAGAACAUUGGGCCGGAGAAUUCACUUAAUGACUGAGAAAUUAGAAGGAGAAACAAAAGCACGUCGCUACAAUGCUCGGAGCUCAGAAAGGGCUCAUGUAGGCAAAUUCUGCAAGACAGGAAAGAAAGGACUCUUUUUUUUUUUUUUUUUCAGGAGCUGAGUCAGAUCAGCUGCAAACUGAGUAACCAGAAAGUGUAUGAUUCUAGGCCAAUGACCUACCCUUCCAAACUGCUAGGUACAGCCAGGGCCCUGGCUAUCUGGUUCACUGUUGUCUUCCUGGUGUCUAGCAAAUGUCUGAACAAACAAACCACAGGAACUAAGGAAACCCCUGAAGGUUUCCUUAAUAAAUGCUCAAGAAAUAAUUGAUAAAUGAAUGAAUUGGUAUCACCCAUUCAACAACCCAGCAUUCCUGCUGCAACCCAGCCCCAAUCCAAAGACCACUCGUGCCCUGGCAGCCUACACCUCCUCAUUAACACAAAGCACUGCAGUGAACUCCCCUGACACAUCGCCUCACUAACUCUCACGGCUCUGCAUCCACAUCUCUACUCCAGAGAACUGUUUCCAGCUAACUCGGCUAACGAGGGCUCCCUGCAGGAACAAAGCCACACACCACUGCCCUAUGGCCCCACCACAGCAGCACCACGCAACCCAAAUCCAUGUGCGGCUGCCUUCAUGUCAGACCUCCACCAGCAUCAGCCACUGCCGAGUAGUAUUUUGAAAAGAAAUGUGCAGAUCUGAAGCAAAACACACAGGGCCUCCUUGGAAUUCUGAUCCGGCGUGGCAAGCCAGGAGCUUGAAACAGCUUCUUUAUGCUAGAUCUCAGCACAGAAAGGCACAGCCCCCCCUGUUUCCCUACAAACCACGCAAACGCUCUAAUCAGACCUCUGCAUGACACCUCUCGGAGGCUGCCACAGAACUGUCUCAAAGCUGUGCCAAUGAGUUUGACUUGAUUACAGACUCCGAACUAGGGGAAACCCUGGCUUUUUUGCUCAGGAGUUCAGAGGUUUCCUUCUACUGAGCCUGUUUCCCCAGCAGCACAGCCUCAAACUGUAGACCUAUAUUGUGACUACGGAGCUGCUUUUAAAGGGCAGGCUCCCAGGUGCCUGGGACUCUUGAGGGAAAGGCCUGAGGGAACCACUGAUGACCUCUUUGUGGCCUUUCUCACCCUUCCAAUGGCAUCCCUAGAGUGACAGCCUCCUUAAACCACCCCAAAGUUCCAGUUUGAGCCACAGCUCUGCAUGCCCCUCCAUGCCUACCCAGACACCUCUUCUCUUUCCUCAUAUUUUUGGAUCUCCUAACUUUUCUCAGGCCUUCAGGGACAUGAUAGGCAGUGGCCAGUGUCCCUCGCCCUCAAGUAAUUCUGUGUUCUCUGAGGUCCCCUCUCUUGACCCCCAGACUCCAAACCGCUUGCUCUCCUGAGUCCCUCCCUGGCGGUACUGGCCAGAGGCCAGAGGAGUGGGUUUGGCGCCACCUGCUCGGAGCGCCCCUCCUUGACCCCCGCAAAUCUCCAGGACGGUCGUAGAGGUCGCUCUCUUCCAGGACUGGCGGGUUCUGGCGGGUAUGAGGGAGGCUAGCGGGGAGGGCCUUGCCCCAAGAGGCCCGGAGCGUGGACAGCGCACGGGGUGCUGAAUCAGGCACGGGGAGGAGGAGUGCCGGCAAGGGCGCCGGCCCGGGGAGGACGAGCAUUUCCAAUUAAUCUUGGAAUGAGAGCCGAGGGCAAGAAGCCAGCGGUGCCUGAGGGAUGCUAAAGAGCCAACCGAUCCAGGGAAACAAAUGCCAGCGAGGGACCCCACAGCAAAGAGACAGACACUGUGAGCAACUCUCCUGUUACCAUGAGGCUUGCGAGGCGUGUGUGCGGGUCUCCGCAUUGGCACCAUCUGCCAAUUCCUCAGGAGGACAGAACAAACCAGUGAGGCAUGAAGAUUAGAUUAUGUAACGCUCGAGGAUUGCUGUUUUCAAAGAGGAAACAAAUGGAAUGAAUUGAUUUGCUUGUCAAAGUCAUGUCACUAAAGGAGAUCUAUUCCCUCCCCUUCUAAGAGGACCUCAUUAAAGAGUGGAAUGAUUUCACAGAUUCAGAAAAUGUGAGACCACAAUCCACUCCAUUCAUAAGAGCAAGUCCACUUUCCAGAGUCACACUCACACAUUCUAUUCUGGUCCCCGGGCCUGAAAAAAUGUCCAUCCAGCUACAACCUAAAGGGUACUGACCUGGUGAGGAACAUAAUUGUCAGCUGCUAGCCAUAAGAUUCAGAGCCGGAGGCCAGGCGUCAUGGCUUAUGCUGGUAAUCCCAGCACUUUGGGAGGCCGAGGUGGGUGGAUCAUGUGAGGUCGGAAGUUCAAGACAGCCUGGCCAACACGGUGAAACCUCGUCUCUACUAAAAAUACAAAAAUUACCUGGGCGUGGUGGCACACACCUGUAACCCCAGCUACUUGGGAGGCCAACGCCUGAGAAUCACUUGAGCCCAAGAGGCAGAGGUUGCAGUGAGCCAAGAUCACACCACCGCACUCCAGCCUGGGGGACAGAGUGAGACGCUGUCUCAAAAAAAUAAAAAUAAAAAAUCAGAACCUGUGAGUUUUGCCUGAACUUUCUUGCUUCUGGGGAAGCAGUGUCUCGUUCUGAGACCAGUGGGAUUGUAUUCACUAUUCAGAGCUCUAAACAAGUGCUCUUGAUAGAGGAGGGGUGUGUUCUUAAAAAUAUAGCAUCAGAAAAAAAAAAUAUAUAUAUAUAUGCAUCAGGAAGGAAAAUGCAUUGAUUUCUCAGAGUGCUUUGCCAUUGCUGGGCUUCUCUCAAAUGCCCAGCACAAUACUUUUUCUAGUAUCCUCAGGAGAUCUGAGGAAUGAACAAAUGAGAACCCUGAACCUGCUGCCAUAGUUCCAUCCCUUAAGGUUUCACAGCCUCCCUAAGAUACCAGGAUUUAAAUAUCAAGUCUUUAUCCAGGAUGCAAAUGAAGUCUCCUGUACCAGAUAGUUUCCAUUUGCCCUCCAGAUCCACUCUUCCACCCUUCUCCGUGCUGCCCUUGGCCCUGGCGGGCUGACCUACAUGGACUGCAGCAGCUCACUCUCCUGCCCUCUAGCUUCCAGGCGGGUACAGCCAAUGGGAGCGGCAGCAGGAGAUGGGAGGGCAGGAGGACAGCAUGGGUGAAGUGUUUCUUUCCCCACUUCCCUCCUGCCAGAUGGCCUUAGGUUGGUUGUGCCUUUUGAUAAAAGGUCACCCCUCUUUCUCAAGGCAGCCUGCUCUACACAACUCUCUCUGGGUUCUGUCAUUUCUCCCUCCCCUCAACCUUCAGAUCUAAGAGUGGUAAAGGCCCCAUGGCUACUGCACUAUCCCUUAUAGCUUCCCCACUUUCUGCUUCAACCUUGUAAAUAGCCCAUUUAUUAAAUAUUCUUCUAAUGAUCUAAUUUGAAUGCGCCAUCUGUUUCUUAUACAGACCCUGCCUGACAUACCUUUCACACGUGACAGUCUAUUCUAGGCCCUACACCACGUUAAAAAGAAAAAGUAGGGCUGGGUGCAGUGGCUCAUGUCUGUAAUCCCAGCACUUUGGGAAGCCGAGGCAGGCGGAUCACGAGGUCAGGAACUCGAGACCAGCCUGGCCAACAUGGCGAAACCCCGUCUCUACUAAAAAUACAAACAUUAGCUGGGCAUGGUAGCGGGUGUCUGUAAUCCCAGCUACUCGGGAGGCUGAGGCAAGAGAACUGUUUGAACCCAGGAGGCGGAGGUUGCAGUGAGCCAAGAUUGCGCCAUUGUACUCCAGCUUGGGCAACAGGGGAGUCUCUGUCUCAAAAAAAAAAAAAGAAAAAGAAAAGUAGCAAAAUUAACAAUACAAUAUGCUACCACUUCAUGUAGUUAUUCUCAAUGUUCACCUUUUCCCAAGGCUAUAAUAACAACUUAAAGAUAAAACUUAAUUCCCCUUUACAACAUAAUUGUGCAGUAGAGUUUGUAUGAGCUACAUAUAAUUCAGAGAACAAGCAUUCUCAUGCCAUCAAAAUUCAUGUUAACAACUAUAAAGAGAAAACCCUAGAAUUGAGGCCCCUGACUUUCAAUGUAGCAGAAAAUAUAUUUCAGUAUUUAAAUCUAUCUAACAGAUAUUUGAAAGUCUACUAUAUGUCCAGCAAGGUGGUGAUCUUACAGUGGGGGAAAAACAUGGACGUGGCCCCUGCCUUUUUGAAACUUAGUCUUGUUUUCUAAAAUAAAUAUGCUUCUAGGCCGAGCUCAGUGGCUCACACCUAUAAUCCUAGCACUUUGGGGGUGCUGAGGUGGGAGGA